rnacentral:rRNA from 1 species
GUGUCAGCAGCCGCGGUAAUACGUAGGCAGCGAGCGUUGUUCGGAGUUACUGGGCGUAAAGCGUGCGUAGGCGGUGCCAUAAGUCUGUUGUGAAAUCUCCCGGCUUAACUGGGAGGGUGCGGUGGAAACUGUGGUGCUGGAGUGUGGGAGAGGUAGGCGGAAUUCCUGGUGUAGCGGUGAAAUGCGUAGAUAUCAGGAGGAACACCUGUGGUGUAGACGGCUUACUGGACCAUGACUGACGCUGAGGCACGAAAGCGUGGGGAGCAAACAGGAUUAGAAACCCGCGUAGUCC